rnacentral:rRNA from 1 species
UACGUAGGGUGCGAGCGUUGUCCGGAAUUAUUGGGCGUAAAGAGCUCGUAGGCGGUCUGUCGCGUCGGAUGUGAAAAUCCAGGGCUUAACCCUGGGCCUGCAUUCGAUACGGGCAGACUAGAGUUCGGUAGGGGAGACUGGAAUUCCUGGUGUAGCGGUGAAAUGCGCAGAUAUCAGGAGGAACACCGGUGGCGAAGGCGGGUCUCUAGGCCGACACUGACGCUGAGGAGCGAAAGCGUGGGGAGCGAACAGG